AGUAAGCGGCAGGUUGUUGCCGAGCUUGGAUUAUGGAUAAACAUUUGGCGUUACUGACUGGAUUUUUAGUUUUAUUUGGAUAUAAAGUUAAUCCAGUAGAUGCUUUCUUAAAGAAUCCGCAAAGUCUGAAUAUUUCUAUGGAUUACAAUGCAUCGCAAUUAACUCUUUCGGAAGAGAGCCGAAUCAGUUUCCAUUUAAUGGAACGGUACAAAAAGGUUGGAAAUAUUGCAAGACCAGUAGAAAAUGCUAUGAAGACUGUAAAAGUUGAAUUUGGAUUAGCAUUGAUUCAAAUUUUAGACUUUGACGAAACAAAUCAAGUAUUGACAACAAAUGUUUGGAAAAGAUAUAUAUGGCUGGAUGAAAUUCUUCGUUGGAACCCUUCGGAAUUUGGAAAUAUAUCCAAUAUUCGCUUACCAGCACCUAAAAUUUGGACACCGGACAUAGUUCUAUACAAUAACGCUGAUACCCAAGAAAAACAACACCUGGAAUCAGUAACGGUUGCUCACUUUGGUCUUGUUAGAUGGAUUCCCCCGGCAAUUUACAAGUCCAGUUGCCAGAUCGAGAUGAGAAAUUUCCCCUUCGAUACCCAAACUUGUUUCUUCAAAUUUGGUUCCUGGGUGUAUGAUGGGCAUAAAUUAGAUCUCGUGUUUUAUGAAGGAAGAGACGAUGUGGACUUGAGAGAAUAUGUUGAGAGUUCCGAAUGGAAUGUUGUUUGUUAGUAAUUUUUCAUAUGAAAAAAAAAAGAAUUUAGGAACUCUUUUGUUUUUUAAUGACAAAGCUUAUUGGUUACAUAUAUCUAUUCUAUUUUAGAUACAUCCGCAAAACGAAACGUUCGUACAUAUCCCUGUUGUGAUGACGAACCGUAUCCUGAUUUGACGUUUCGACUGACAGUGAAAAGAAAAACAGCAUUUUACAUGUAUGUGCUCAUACUGCCCAGUGUAAUGCUUUCGUUUCUCACAUUGGUUCUAUUCUGGAUACCUCCUCAGAGACCCGAUAGAACUAGCUUGGGUAAGUUUCUAGAUUAAUAAUAAUUGUAAUUUUUGUUAACAGUACGUCUAUUAUUCGCUUUUCUUUAAGGAAUGAGCCUAUUUUCAAGUUUUUUUGUUCUUCUCCUCAUUCUCGUACAAAGUUCGCCACCUACUGCAUCGAUUUCCCUUCUGGGUGUCUAUUACUGCUUGAAUAUGGUGCUCAUAGCCAUAUCAACCAUGGUUUCAGCACUAGUAAUUAAUCUGACAUAUUAUUUACAAAGGAGAAAACUCCCAUUUUUAAUUAAAGCCGUAAGCGAUUUCAAAUUAUUGAUCUUAAAUGACAAAAUGACAAAAUGACGGAAUUUUUAACCUAAGAAUUACAUAUAUCAGAUUUUUGUUCAACACCUCGGUCGACUAUUAUGUGUAAGCAGAAACAGUUUAGCUGAUGAACCGAAUGAAAUAAACAAACGUACAAGUAGUUUUACUGAGCAAAGUUUCCCUCUACGGAAUGGUAAAGCGAGCGAACAAACCCUAUCGAAACGCAACGAUUGGAAAAUUUUAGCAUCCGUUAUUGACAGGUAUACGCUACUUUUCAAUUUCCAAUCAUUCACUAAAUUCUCGACUUUUUUAUAUUACAGGCUUUUUUUUAUAAUUUAUACGAUUGGUUUGGUUUUAUCCUUAAUUUUCGUCUUCCCCCGUUAGUCUAGGCGCCAUCUAUCGUUUUUUCAAAUAUAAAUAGUUUAAACAGAGAAUAAAAUAUAUCAGCCUUGUAUUUUCAUAGUUUAAAAUAGUUUUAUUUUUCUAAUGCAAAUUCAGGAGUGAAUGACAACAUAAAAACCGCAAAAGCAGUUAAGCGGAUAAAAGUUUUUGAAUUCCAAUAGCUGUAAACAAUUAGAAGUUCAAUCUUACAUUCCUCCUCUCAAACGCAAUACCAAAUGAAGGGUCGAUUCUUUUUGGAUGUUGUAGUCGGACAAUGUUCUACCAUCUUCCAAUUGUUUACCAGCAAAGAUCAAUCUUUGUUGAUCUGGGGGAAUUCCUUCUUUAUCUUGGAUUUUAGCUUUCACGUUUUCGAUCGUGUCUGAUGGUUCGACUUCCAAGGUGAUUGUCUUUCCAGUUAAGGUCUUGACGAAAAUUUGCAUUCCUCCUCUCAAACGCAAUACCAAAUGAAGUGUUGAUUCCUUUUGGAUGUUGUAGUCGGAUAAUGUUCUUCCAUCUUCCAAUUGUUUACCAGCGAAGAUCAAUCUUUGUUGAUCUGGGGGAAUUCCUUCUUUAUCUUGGAUUUUAGCUUUAACAUUCUCGAUUGUGUCUGAUGGUUCAACCUCCAAGGUGAUUGUCUUUCCAGUUAAGGUCUUGACGAAAAUUUGCAUUCCUCCUCUCAAUCUUAAAACCAAAUGAAGGGUCGAUUCUUUCUGAAUAUUAUAGUCGGACAAGGUUCUUCCAUCUUCCAAUUGUUUGCCAGCGAAGAUCAAUCUUUGCUGAUCUGGGGGAAUUCCUUCUUUAUCUUGGAUUUUAGCUUUAACAUUCUCGAUUGUGUCUGAUGG
rnacentral:misc_RNA from 1 species